rnacentral:rRNA from 1 species
UGGGGAAUAUUGCACAAUGGAGGGAACUCUGAUGCAGCGACGCCGCGUGAGUGAUGAUGGACUUCGUUUCGUAAAACUCUGUUCUAUGGGAAGAAAAGGACUGUACCAUAGGAGAAAGCUCCGGCUAAAUACGUGCCAGCAGCCGCGGUAAUACGUAUGGAGCGAGCGUUGUCCGGAAUUAUUGGGCGUAAAGGGUGCGCAGGCGGCUUUACAAAUUGGAUGUGAAAUAUUGUGGCUCAACCACAAACGUGCAUCCAAAACUGCAAAGCUUGAGUUAAGGAGAGGUAAGUGGAAUUCCUGGUGUAGCGGUGGAAUGCGUAGAUAUCAGGAGGAAUACCGGUGGCGAAGGCGACUUACUGGACUUAAACUGACGCUCAGGCACGAAAGCGUGGGGAGCAAACAGG